UAAAUUAUUAAAGGAUUACCUUAUACCCGAAAAUUGUCCCCUUCUAAAGUCACCGACUUUAAAUCCCGAAAUUAUGGCUGCCAUUCCCGAAACCGGGAGAUUUCGAGACAAAAAAAUUUGCUCUUCGCAAAAUCAAUUAGGAGUAGGCAUUUCUGCCAUUAAUAGAGGCCUUAACACGUUGCUUACAUCUGAUAAAAAGAUCGAAGCAAUAAAAUGUAUCAGUGACGGUUGUCGCUUACUGUCAGAUCUGCAUCACCAACAAACCGAAACAAGGAAAAAAUUCAUCACCCCCUGCUUAGACAAAGGUUUCUUGCAAUUGAUUCAAGUCGCGGAACGCGACGACACCCUAUAUGGUAAUAAUUUAUCCGAAAAAAUCAAGGCUUCAAAAGCUAUCACGACUCAGAGUCAACAAAUAAAAAAGAAUACGGUUACUCCUAAACCAUCCGUAGCCCAAACUGUAACUCGGGCCAACAGCCAGGGAAACUGGCAGGGCCCUCCUCGUUUUUCGCAGAACAGGGGGGGGCGCGGAGGUUACAAGAGAACCAACCCACGGGGUCAACAAACCUCUACGCAGACAUCUCAAGCGCAAUCACAACCAAAACCUUAUCAACAAACCAAGACUCGGGGGACGUCUCGGCAACCUCAUCACCAGACGUAGGACCAUCUCAGGAAUACACCUCCAUACCGACUGCAUCAUCAUCUUACAUUGGCUGCAGCGAAACUCUCCGGAAGGCGUUUUUAAACCGCAAUAUCCCACCAGAAGCCAUAAAUCUGAUGUUAGCUUCACUCUCAAAUAACACUAAAAAACAGUACAAUUGCGCACAGUACACGGCACGCAUCAACCUCUACGGCCAGUGCCGCGGGUGUAUGCAUCGAAACUAUUCGUAAAGCAGCUGGGUGGACCAAUAAUCAUACUUUUGCAAAAUUCUAUCGAUUAAAUAUAAUUACAAAAAAUGUAUUUGCG